UACAGAGACUGCAAGCGUUAUUCGGAUUCACUGGGCGUAAAGGGUGCGCAGGUGGCCAAGUGUGUUAGGCGUGAAAGCCCGGGGCUUAACCCCAGAAUUGCACCUAAAACUACUUGGCUAGAGCAUUGGAGAGGGGAGCAGAAUUCAUGGUGUAGCAGUGAAAUGCGUAGAUAUCAUGAGGAAUACCAGAGGCGAAGGCGGCUCCCUGGACAAUUGCUGACACUCAGGCACGAAAGCGUGGGGAGCAAAAGGG
rnacentral:rRNA from 1 species